CGGGGCGCAGCAGCAAUGAGGAAUAUUGCACAAUGGGGGGAACCCUGAUGCAGCAGCGCCGCGUGGAGGAUGACGCAUUUCGGUGUGUAAACUCCUUUUAUAUGUCAAGAAAAUGACGGUAGCAUAUGAAUAAGCACCGGCUAACUCCGUGCCAGCAGCCGCGGUAAUACGGAGGGUGCAAGCGUUACUCGGAAUCACUGGGCGUAAAGGACGCGUAGGCGGGUUGGAAAGUCAGGUGUGAAAUCCUACAGCUUAACUGUAGAACUGCACUUGAAACUUCUAAUCUAGAGUAUGGGAGGGGGAGAUGGAAUUAGUGGUGUAGGGGUAAAAUCCGUAGAUAUCACUAGGAAUACCUAAAGCGAAGGCGAUCUCCUGGAACAUUACUGACGCUAAGGCGUGAAAGCGUGGGGAGCAAACAGGAUUAGAUACCCGAGUAGUC
rnacentral:rRNA from 1 species